rnacentral:rRNA from 1 species
GUGCCAGCAGCCGCGGUAAUACGGAGGGUGCAAGCGUUAAUCGGAAUUACUGGGCGUAAAGCGCGCGUAGGCGGUUAUUUAAGUCAGAUGUGAAAGCCCCGGGCUUAACCUGGGAAUGGCAUUUGAGACUGGAUGGCUAGAGUAUGGUAGAGGUGAGUGGAAUUUCAGGUGUAGCGGUGAAAUGCGUAGAGAUCUGAAGGAACAUCAGUGGCGAAGGCGACUCACUGGGCCAUUACUGACGCUGAGGUGCGAAAGCGUGGGUAGCAAACAGGAUUAGAUACCCUGGUAGUCCACGCCCUAAACGAUGUCAACUAGGUGUAUGGAGAAUUUAUUCUUUGUGUAUCGAAGCUAACGCGAUAAGUUGACCGCCUGGGGAGUACGGUCGCAAGACUAAAACUCAAAUGAAUUGACGG